rnacentral:lncRNA from 1 species
GACCCCCCCCACCCUAUAUAGGAACGGCAGCAUCAUCGUGGACCACCUGGUCCUGGUGGCCCUGCGGGUGACGGCGGACGCGGAGCAGAGGCUGCAGAACAUCUCCAGCAGCGUGCAGGAGGAGAUCCAGGCAGCCGCCGGCAGCAACUGCAGCUCAGGUGAGCUCUGCCUCUCGGAUGCCAGCGUCGGGAACAGCUCCUUUGAGUUCAACGCAACGGGUGAGAAAUUGGGGGGGGGUCGGAGGGGGCGACCCCAAAAGGGACCCGUUAAUGGGGACACCCCAAAAGGGACACCGCAAAAAGGGACCCAUCAAUGGGGGCACCCCAAAGGGACACCGCAAAAAGGGACAUCUCAAAAGGGACCCAUUAAUGGGACACCCCAAAAGGGACAUCCCAAAAGGGACCCUUUAAGGGGGGAUCCUAAAGGGACACCCCAAAAAGGGACACCCCAAAAGGGACCCAUUAAUGGGGACACCCCAAAAAGGGACACCCCAAAAGGGACCCAUCAGUGGGGACACCCCAAAAGGGACACCCCAAANNNNNNNNNNNNNNNNNAGUUCAACGCAACGGGUGAGAAAUUGGGGGGGGGUCGGAGGGGGCGACCCCAAAAGGGACCCGUUAAUGGGUGCACCCCAAAAGGGACACCCGAAAAGGGACACCCUAAAAGAGACCCUUUAAUGGGGACACCCCAAAAGGGACACCCCAAAAGGGACACCUUAAUGGGGACACCCCAAAGGGACACCGCAAAAAGGGACAUCUCAAAAGGGACCCAUUAAUGGGACACCCCAAAAGGGACAUCCCAAAAGGGACCCUUUAAGGGGGGAUCCUAAAGGGACACCCCAAAAAGGGACACCCCAAAAGGGACCCAUCAGUGGGGACACCCCAAAAGGGACACCCCAAAAGGGACAGCAGAAAAGGGACCCAUCAAUGGGGACACCUGAAAAGGGACACCCCAAAAAGGACGUCACCAUUCGGGGUCCCCCAUGACGUCACCAUUCGGGGUCUCCCACCCCCAUGACGUCACCACCUGAGGUCUCCCCCCCCAUGACGUCACCAUUUGGGGCCCCCAUGAUGUCACCAUUUGGGGUCUCCCCCCCCCAUAACGUCACCAUUUGCCCCCCCUCCCCCCUAUGACGUCACCAUUUGGGAUCCCCCCCUAUGACGUCACCAUUUG